CGUCAUCGUCAUCGUCGUCCUGAAAAUAAUAACGAUAACGUAUCGUCGGCAUCGUCCGCGUUACGUGCAUAGGUUGACGAAAAAAAAAAAAAAACAAACAAGGGUAAAAAAAAGGGAGAAAAAUUUUUUAGAGAACCGCACUUAAACCGUUCGAGUGGAACGAAUACAAGAUUUUAAAACAAACAUUUGUGUACAUCGUUUUAUGCGGAAUUGGGGGAAAAAAAUAUUUUUUUCAGAAAAUAAAAGAGCGCCUCCUCUUCCUCUUUCCUUCGACUUUGGAAUUUUGUCGGUCGCGAUGCGAGUGACGCGGAGAUUGGUUUUCGAUGAAAAUUUUUGAAAAAAUUUGUCGACAUCGAGAGGUGGCAAAUUUUGACAGACGACACCCGUCGUCGGAUGUCCGGCUGUUGAAACCGGGUGAAAUAGAUUAGAGAGACGAGAUUUAUGUCGAUUGCAUCUGGUUUUUUUUUUCCGGUCAUACGGUUUCGUUUCGUUUCGUUUUUUUUUUUUUUCGGGUGUUACGCUUAUCUGGUUUUCGAUACGUAUACAAUAACGGGGUAAUCAAUAAUCGAUGCGUUAUAAAAACGUAUCGUUAAUUAACAAUUAUUAAUAAUUCUUGUCUGGACUGAUUGAUAUUAUCACCUCUAUGGUUAUGGUAUAUAUAUAGACGAGUAUGUACAUUACCGAAUAUUUAUUUUUAAACCCCCGAAUAGUCCCGUGCUGUUACGUAAUAAUUAUCAUUAUUUUUCCACAAAACGCGUCGAGAAAAUUAUAGGAUACAUAUAAUGAAAAUUGAUAAUUGUUCUUUCUUUCUUUCUUUUCUUUCAUUCUAACAAAGAAAACUAUGAAAAUAAUUUCACGGCGUAUAUUAAAAUCCCUUUUGUUAUUCGGAUAUCAAAAUAGACGUAUAUACCAUUCAGUCAAAAGACUGGUAGUCUUUGAUCUUGAUAAAUAAAUUUAAUUUAACUCCGAGCGAUCGAAUAUUUCGGUUGUUUUCGGCUACUCCUUCUAUUACUAAUUAUCGUCAUCGUCGUCGUUGUUAUUAUUAUUAAUCUCGUUAGACAUCUCAAUUAAUUCACCGCUCGAAUAUUAUUACAAAAAAUCCGACAAUUUUACCGACACGAGUGAAGAAAAAUUUUCACAUUUUUCCUCCCCUCUUUUGUGCUUCUUUUUUUCUCUUUCUGGUCCAUUACCAGGAUCUGUAUAUAAUAUUCUCAUCCUAUAACGAGGAUAUUUUCGUAUCCUAGGCGAGAUGAACAUUGUUGAAAUCUGACGGACACGAGGCGACUCCAUUGUAUCGACACAUGUACACGUAUUUUCAUUCUCUACCCAGUUUUCCUUUUUUCUCCUCUUCUCUCUUUCUCGCCUUCUCUUUCGCACGCUCUUUACCUGUACGUCGAACGUCCAGAUCAGCCGAUCCGUCCCUCCGAAGAUCAUCUCGGGGGCGAACCGCGAGCGUACCGUAUCUCGGUAGAAGACAGACGCUCGGUAUCGUGUGACCGGUGUAAUGGAUUUCAUUGUGCGAUUUUUUUUUUCCCCCGAUCUCCGUCAUCAUUUUUCUUCUCCCGGUUUCUCCCGGUUUUUUUUUUUUCCCACCGUCUAUUUUCUCACCUGCGAAUUCGUCUCCCCGUAUUCAUUCAUUUUUAUACCGUAUAAAAGGAACCCUCGGGAUCCGAUCUGGUCACUUUACCCUCAGAUAAGUCAGCCAACGAACUACGGGAUGACCAUCAGGAUUAUCUGUUCGCUUCUGUCCCUGGCGAUGUUGGGGGUCAGCGUUCGCGGCUACGAUGCCCACUGGGAGAACGCCGUCAACAUUCCGGAGGACGAGGAAUCGGACAUAAUCGUACGGGAGUCCCGGGUCCCUCCGCUACCUCGCAUCGAACACGUUAUAUGCACGUGCGAAUCCGUGCCACGUUUCAUGGAUUUCGGUCACCGGACUUACCCGCGACAUUUGGUGUCCAACGACUGUAUCGAGAAAAGAUUGUGCGUCGAUUUCUAUCACUUUUGCGAAGAGAUAACCUACACCCUAAACGUGACGACGUUCAGAGACAGCAAGGAAUACUCGAGUAAAAAUAACGGGAUCCGUCGACUCCUGGGUGAAACGACGAUCAACGAUUGCGUCGCACCCGUACCGGAAACCGUGGUGAAGACCAUAACGGCGGCCUGCAGAAACAAAAUACGCAAUUAAACACCGAUCGACGUUCGACAAUGGGAUAAUCUUGAUUUGAAGAAAAAAAAAAUCAAUCAAUAUCGAACGAACAAAUAAAAAUGCAACAACGACGAGAAACAAAAAUAGCGAAGUAAAAAAGAAAAAAACCCAAAACGUAACGAAAUACCCACCAUUAAACCGAUGUCUAGCUAGUUUAAAUAAUAAUUGUCUGGCGAUAUGUUAUAAAUAAAUUUAAAGAUUAAGUAAUGAAAUUAAUAAAAAUUCUAUGAGAAAAUGAAGAGGACGUGAUGAAAAAUUCAGAGAGAGAGAGAAAAAAACGAACGAAUCCUUGUACGAAAAUAUCGUGUGAAAUUUAUUUGAACGAAUAAAAAAAAAAUUAGAAGAAAAAAAAACCAUCGGCCAUUUCCUCGUCAAACUCCGAGAGGAUUAGAAAUUUGUCAAUUUCGUUCGAGCAAAAAAUAGACGUAGAUAAGACUCGUUCGAGCAGUUUUUUUCACUUUUUGCGUUUUCUUCGUUUAUUCAUACGUCGCGUCUGCCUGUUUUAUUUUCUCCCCCUUUCUUUCCUAAUUCGGCUACUUUUUUUUAUCUUCGUACAGACCUCAAAGAAUUUUGCACUUCGUUAGGAGUUACAAUAAGAUAAAUUUGCUACGUAUGGUAUCCAUACGAAUUUUCCGACGUACCGUAACACGCGAUUGAUUUAUCGUACAUGUUUGCUCUUACACAUAUGUACAUACACCUUACGUACACGAUACACGCGGUGGGUAGGCACACAAUACCAUGUACAUAUGUACAAAAGUUAACUUACUUAUAACCGAGUUGUUUUUUUUGUCCUAAUUUUUUUCCCGUAUUUUUUAUACUCUAUUUUAUUUUUCAUUCAUUCCUCGCGAUUUCUCCGCACUCGCUUACAGACUCGUGUUUUUCGUCGCUGUCGUUCUUUCUCCGAUUUUUUUCUUUUUGGAAGCUAGAUUUUGGCGAAAAUUUAAUUUGGAUAGAAUGUAUACCGCAUUACAUACCGGCGGCCGGGGGGACAACGGGGGGAGAAGAAGAAAGUUUUUCCCCGGGGGAUAAAAAAUAUAUAUAUAUAUAUGUAUACAGAAAUAGAGAUAUGAUUUUUCGAUUGGAAGAUGCUGAGGAGAUCGAACUCCGGCAGCUGCGUGUCUUUGGGAAAAAAUUUGGGAGGAACGAAAUAUCGGCGGUAGAAUGAAAAUGAAAAUGAAAAUGAAAAAAAAAGGAAGCGAAAGAAUUUUCGACUUUUGACUCCGUCGGGGCGAGCACGCGUCACCCCUUCGCGUACGUAACGUGUGCGGUAUUAUGUGAUUGAUAAAAAAAUUGAGAGGGGAGAAAAAAAUGGAAAAACGAAAGGAGCAAAAAAGAAAAAAGGGAAAAUGCGCACCAACCGCAUGUACAUGAAUACGAGUGUUCGAAAAUCU